rnacentral:rRNA from 1 species
UACGAAGGGUGCAAGCGUUACUCGGAAUUACUGGGCGUAAAGCGUGACGUAGGUGGUUGUUUAAGUUCUGCUGUGAAAGCCCUUGGGCUCAACCUGGGAAUUGCAGUGGAUACUGGGGCGACUAGAGUGUGGUAGAGGAUAGUGGAAUUUCCGGUGGUAGCAGUGAAAUGCGUAGAGAAUCGGAAAGGAACAUCUGUGGCGAAGGCGACUAAUCUGGGCCCAACACUGGAACACUUGAGGCACGG